AUUACCGCGGCUGCUGGCACAUAGUUAGCCGGUGCUUCUUCUGCAGGUACCGUCACUUUCGCUUCUUCCCUGCUGAAAGCGGUUUACAACCCGAAGGCCUUCAUCCCGCACGCGGCGUCGCUGGGUCAGAGUUUCCUCCAUUGCCCAAUAUUCCCCACUGCUGCCUCCCGUAGG
rnacentral:rRNA from 1 species